UGACAAAAAGGGUGUGACAUGUCAGUGGUGAUUAUUAUUUACUCAUGUGAUCCCCUGUGCAGGAAUUUGGAUUAAGAGAUGGGUUAAGUGUGACAACAUCUGAAACCUCAGAGAAUCAAGAUGAAUUAUCAGCUUUGGACAAAAGAUGAUGUGUGCCACUGGCUUAAAAAAGAGGGUUUUGGUCACUUUGCAAGUGCCUUUUUGGGACAUCUUGGGGUACCUGGCUUGUCUGUCUGUAACAUUGGUUAAUCCACUGGCCUAUGCUCACCUUUAUUCCCCACAGGACCAACAUAACCUCUCCUCAGC